AACGAACGCUGGCGGCAUGGAUUAGGCAUGCAAGUCGAACGAACGUAGCAAUACGUUAGUGGCGAAAGGGUGAGGAACACGUGAGUAACUUGCCCCCAAGUUCGGAAUAACUUUGGGAAACUGAAGAUAAUACCGGAUGUGGUUGUUUUUUCGCAUGGAGAAACAACUAAAGGUUUACCGCUUGGGGAUAGGCUCGCGUCCCAUUAGCUAGUUGGUGAGGUAACGGCUCACCAAGGCAACGAUGGGUAGCUGGUCUGAGAGGAUGGUCAGCCACACUGGGACUGAGACACUGCCCAGACUCCUACGGGAGGCUGCAGUCGAGAAUCUUCCGCAAUGCGCAAAAGCGUGACGGAGCAAUGCCGCGUGUCGGAUGAAGGUCUUCGGAUUGUAAACGACUGUCGACCGGGACGAAUUAAUGACGGUACCGGUAGAGGAAGCCACGGCUAACUACGUGCCAGCAGCCGCGGUAAUACGUAGGUGGCGAGCGUUGUUCGGAUUUAUUGGGCGUAAAGGGUCCGUAGGAGGUUGGGUAAAUUUGACGUGAAAUCCCGGAGCUCAACUCUGGAACUGCGUUGGAGACUGCCUGACUAGAGUACUGGAGAGGUAAGCGGAAUACCAGGUGUAGCGGUGGAAUGCGUAGAUAUCUGGUAGAACACCAAAAGCGAAGGCAGCUUACUGGACAGAAACUGACUCUCAAGGACGAAAGCGUGGGGAGCAAACAGGAUUAGAUACCCUGGUAGUCCACGCCGUAAACGUUGUCAACUUGAUGUGGGAGGAUUUAACCCCUUCCGUAUCGAAGCUAACGCGAUAAGUUGACCGCCUGGGGACUACGGCCGCAAGGCUA
rnacentral:rRNA from 1 species